GACGAACGCUGGCGGCGUGGAUUAGGCAUGCAAGUCGAACGGUAGGAUACCUUCGGGUAUCUUAGAGUGGCGAACGGGUGAGUAACACGUAGGUGAUCUACCCUCAAGAUUGGGACAACCCAGGGAAACUUGGGCUAAUACCGGAUGAAAGCAGCAGUGAUGUUGUUUGAAAGGUGGCGUAAGCUGCCGUUUGGGGAUGAGCCUGCGCUCUAUUAGUUAGUUGGCGGGGUAAAGGCCCACCAAGGCGAUGAUAGAUAGGCGGCCUUAACGGGUGGUCGCCCACACUGGGAUUGAGAUACGGCCCAGACUCCUACGGGAGGCAGCAGUCGAGAAUAGUCUACAAUGGCCGAAAGGCUGAUAGUGCGACGCCGCGUGAACGAAGAAGCCCUUCGGGUGUAAAGUUCUUUUAUAUGUGAGCAGUGCUUUCUAUGUGAACAGCAUGGGGAGAGAGAUAUUAGCAUAUGAAUAAGCAACGGCUAACUCCGUGCCAGCAGCCG
rnacentral:rRNA from 1 species